UUUAUGAUCUGGGCUGGGACUUGGACUUGGACGCUGCCGGUUACACGGCUCGUCUCAAAUGACUUAGUGGAUCUCUCUGCAUCCGUGACAGACGUAAUAAGUUUCGUCUCGUCCCUUGCUGUCUGAGUCUGCUCCUAACCUGCCAUCGUGCACUUUUAGACUCUGACCUCAAAUCAGGUAGGACUACCCGCUGAACUUAA
rnacentral:misc_RNA from 1 species